rnacentral:rRNA from 1 species
AGUCUCUAUCGAGGUUAAAGGUACCCGUACCGCAAACAGACACAGGUGGGUGAGGAGAGUAUCCUAAGGCCCGCGAGAUAACUGUUGUUAAGGAACUCGGCAAAAUGACCCCGUAACUUAGGGAUAAGGGGUGCCACCAUCCGGUGGCCGCAGAGAAUAGGCCCAAGCGACUGUUUACCAAAAACAUAGGUUUCUGCUAAGUCG